UGUAGGGACUGCUGCAGCCCAGGCGGGGGCGGGGGAUAAGCCGCUGGGGGCUUGCGGGGAGGGGUCAGUGUUAGGUGGCUGGCCCCUCGUAGGUGCCUGAAGGCAAGCCUAGUGCAGGGAAGUACCCCCUGGGGGGAGGCUGGUGGCCUGGGGAAGGACAAAUGGAAAAUGGAAUUAGGGGCCAGACUCUGAGGCAAGGCGACAGGGAGACAAAGGGGCGAUCUGGUUGUGGGACGAAAUUGGGGCUCGAGCGUGGGAGAGGUGAAGUGACUUGUGGACCACGCGGGAUAGGUGCCGUGUAGUGUGGGUGUGUUGGGGGUACUCGGGGGUCUGGGGAGGUGCAGUGGGAUCAGGAAGAGACUGGGGUGAGCAAGAAGUCGGCAGAAUGGGAAAGGGAAAGAGGGAAAUUUGGGAUCUAGCCGUCCCAGACCAGAGCCACCAUUCUCUUCCAGCUCUGCGCCCCCUCUCUCCAGCCGGAGCGUGCUGCUCCCUCGGCUCAUGGUGCAGCGGAGUUCGCACUAGCCAAUGUUCUGGUAGAUGGAAAGGCUGCCACUGUCCCACCUCUCCCAGGCCUCCCCCAUCUUUGCCGACUUUCCCCUUUUCCACAUUUUGUCCUUCCUAGGUAGUUGAAGUCUAGUUCCUAGGUCAAUGCCAACCAUAGCCGAGGGCACAGGGGAGCAGGUGGCUGUGCAAGCUACUUCCAGGCUGUGGACGCAGGGCUGAGAAAUGGGAAACCUGCCAGUGCCCGUUCCAGCUGUGACCUGGCUGGGGCAGCCUUGGGUCAAGGGCUCUCUGUAGUCCUGGUUUCCACCAACAUCAGGAAGGGGAGCUGCAAGAGUCAUCUAGGCUGGCACCCCAGGACUGUGCCAGCUGAUGUGAGGGUGGACUGGCUCUAAGGAAAAGAUGGUGACAAAGGAAACAGUGAGGGAAUGGACAGCUCAAAACGAGCCUUGCCACUCCUGCUCAGAACAACACCCCUGGCUGUGUCCUGCUGAGGGUUUCUUCCCCGCAGGCUCUGAGGCCAAAGCCUUCCUCCAAGGUUGGAGAGUUGAGCGGCAGAAGUAGCUUGCUGGUGAGGAAGGAAGACCUGGGUUUAAGCCCUGCCUCCGUCAACCUCAAGAUACAGAGCCUCAGGGAAGGGAGGAGCGGCACUGUGAGGACAAGUGCGCCUGAGCCAGUACCUUCACCUUUGAGAGACAAGCUGUACGUGACCCUGUGAACUGAAGAGACUCCAUCUGUCAGGCAGAAAUAGCCACUCACUGCCCACCCCCAACAAUCCUGACUCCCAACACUCAGAUCAAAUCGGAAGAUGCAUCAGCAUCAUCUUCGACAGCAAGCCGAGGGGCUGUCUUGCUCCUCUCUCAGCACCGCCAAGGAAGGGGGCACUUUCUAAGGAGGGGACCUCCUUAUGCUUUUGUCGUUUACAACUCCACCAGACCGCCUCACAACUUCUCUUCCACAGAUCUCUUCCUUCAAGAUGACCCCGUCCUCAACAGAGAGGAAAGAGGCCGGGCAGCCCGCCUCGGAUGCCCGCUUUCUCCCUGACUGCACUCUAGCCUCACCGGAGAGCUUUCAAUAAAUUCUGGAGUCUGGGUCCCAUCCCAGGCCAAGGAAAUCAGAAUCUCAGGGGAUGGGACCCCCGUGACAGGAUUAAGAAUUUUCUCAGGUGAUUCCCAUAAGCAGCCAAAUGUUGAGAACCACUCACUAGCCCAGAGGUGUCUUCCCUCUGGGGGUACCCAAGGAAAACUCCACCCCCACCCACUCCGGUCCCUCCCCUUCCUGAAUUUCUCCCCUACCCACCCUACCUGCCUCGGUCUGUGGAGCCAGUGUGGACAGGUGGUUCCAGCUGUGUCUCAACAUCAACCAGGGAGACAUCUCUUCCCCGGGUGUGUCUGGGGGCAGGUUCUCUCUCUCUCGAUAUUUCCCUUCUUGUUUCCAGCUGCUUUCAGCCUCUUUAAGUUGUCACUUUCUCACCAUUUCUAAUUUACGAAGCUACCCAUUCUGCAACUCGAAAAGCCCCAUGUUUGUCUCAUGCACCACUGCGCCUUUCACUUCCAGCACGUUGCUUAAUAUAUAGUAGGUGCACAAUAAACGUUUGUUGACUGACUGAA